rnacentral:rRNA from 1 species
GUGAAGCGGCAACAGCUCAAAUUUGAAAUCUGGCCCUCGGGUCCGAGUUGUAAUUUGUAGAGGAUGCUUUUGGUGAGGUACCUUCCGAGUUCCCUGGAACGGGACGCCAUAGAGGGUGAGAGCCCCGUCUGGUUGGAUACCAAACCUCUGUAAAGCUCCUUCGACGAGUCGAGUAGUUUGGGAAUGCUGCUCUAAAUGGGAGGUAUAUGUCUUCUAAAGCUAAAUACCGGCCAGAGACCGAUAGCGCACAAGUAGAGUGAUCGAAAGAUGAAAAGCACUUUGAAAAGAGAGUUAAAAAGUACGUGAAAUUGUUGAAAGGGAAGCGCUUAUGACCAGACUUGGACUUGGUUGAUCAUCCUGGGUUCUCCCUGGUGCACUCUUCCAGUUCAGGCCAGCAUCAGUUCGCUGCGGGGGAUAAAAGUUUUGGGAAUGUGGCUCCCUCGGGAGUGUUAUAGCCCAUUUCAUAAUACCCUGCUCCGGACUGAGGU